CCUACGGGCGGCAGCAGUGAGGAAUAUUGGUCAAUGGCCGAGAGGCUGAACCAGCCAAGCCGCGUGAGGGAAGACGGUGCCACGGGUUGUAAACCUCUUUUGUCGGGGAGCAAAGCGAACCACGAGAGGCUCAUCGAGAGUACCCGAAGAAAAAGCAUCGGCUAACUCCGUGCCAGCAGCCGCGGUAAUACGGAGGAUGCGAGCGUUAUCCGGAUUUAUUGGGUUUAAAGGGUGCGUAGGCGGACUGGCAAGUCAGCGGUCAAAGUGCGGGGCUCAACCCCGUACUGCCGUUGAAACUGCAUGCCUUGAGUGCGCGAGAAGUAUGCGGAAUGCGUGGUGUAGCGGUGAAAUGCAUAGAUAUUGCGCAGAACUCCGAUUGCGAAGGCAGCAUACCGGCGCGCAACUGACGCUCAUGCACGAAAGCGUGGGUAUCGAACAGGAUUAGAUACCCGAGUAGUC
rnacentral:rRNA from 1 species